GUACAUGAUGUAGUACAUGGCUUACCGUAUUUGUUAUUUUGUUUUGUAAAACCUCUCCUUCUCUCUAUUCAUGAAAAUGGAGAAAGCUUUCACUCUGGUUCAGACAGUUGCAGUGGCAACAGUCUUCUCUGCCGUUUCCGGCUGAGAAUCUGCUCGCAAAGAGCUGGGAAGCUUAAUCGAAGACCUUCACAGCCAGAAUCCCAAUUCCUGACUUCGUUGGGUUGAUGGCAUCAGGUGGGCAGUGUGGAAAUCCCUUCAUUUGUUAAAGCUUGAGAAAACAUUGUCUUAAGGCUUUACUGGAAAAUUCCUUCGGCCAUCUUCGGCUGUUUUCAGGUCAUCUUACCUAUCCUUGACAGAAGAAUGUGCGUUCCUGAGUAGUUUAGAUAUGUUAUAAAACCUUUGUAUGCUGACUUGCAUUGAAGAUACAGCUUUCUGCUGUGACAUAGUUGUUAUUCAUAGUUGCUGUGAAUGAAUUAGAUAAUGUAGUUGCAUGCUUAAUCUGUUUUUGAGUGUCAAAGUUGAUCUGAGAUCAUUGAUGGAUAAACAUCUUGACUUAUAUUACAAUGACUGGAUUUUGCUGUUUGGAAAUUCCUUGGUUGUUCACCCCAAAAUGAAAACUAGCUGAUUUUCAGUUAGUGAGUGCCAGUGCGUGCGUACAUUACCCUUUUCUUUCUUCAAAAAGAGCAGUAUUUUGUAGUUAAGGAACAAUCAAGUCAGUUUAUGUUCACAUAGAUAUAUGUGCUGAUCUUCUUACCAUUCUGAAAUAGAUAGGAUGAUAUGACAACUAUGAGUUUUACUGAUAAAUAAAGGCUGGGGAAGAAAUUUUUGUAAUUGAUUUGAUUCACAAACUUAUUGAGAUUGCUUCUUUGUAAUUCUGUAAUCUUAUUACCAUUCUGUAAUAGAAAGGAUCAUAUUGUACUUGGGCAUUUGGUGGUUGUUUGCAGUGUAUUGGUACACAGGGGCAGGGUGCAUGGUGGACAUUACUAGGCCUUUAUCAGGCCGAUACUUUCCGAUCAUUGAAAGUUUCAGAAGCAUGUAGGACACAAAGUGGGUAACUUAGGUUGCUAAUCAUCGCUGAGCAUUAUCCUGUUACCAUGCCAUUAAGAUUUGUGUUUCUCAUGAACAAAUUUGAUGAUGUGAGGGUAACCAAAGAAGAUAUAUAUAUAUAUAUAUAUAUAUAUAAAGAGGGCACCGGAGGAGCAGUGUGGUGGUGAGGAAGAUGUAUUUCUUAUUCUGCAUGCACUGUUGCCUCUGUUUUUCGUGCUUAAAUAUAUUCAGUAAAAUGUUAACCCUGAAGUUCUAGUGCUUUCUCAUAAUUUUCUCAUCCUCGACAGCUGUCCUAGACAAACCCUGGGUUUAACACUCCUUUUCAAAUUUACAAAAUAUUCAAAUGCGUACAUGCUGGUUUACAUAAGUGAAACUGACAAGGACAAAAUAAUCUCUAUGUAUGUCUAUGUAGAAUCUGGUGUACAUGGGUUUAAUAACACUCCUCUCAAAUGAACUGAAUGUAUCCAUAAUCUGGUGUACAUACACGUGCUUGCUGCAUAUUUUCAUUGGCAUUAUAGACUUUAAGGGGGUGUAUUUAUAGGGAGGGAAAAUAACUACUUUUGUUGUGCUGCUACAUUCUACAUCCUGAAUAAUGUUUUUGUUUGAAUGAUGUUCAUACUAGCAUUGCUGGGUGGGUGGAAUGUGAAGUAAACAGAUUCGGACCCAAAACUUAUAAUGCUAUAGUUUCCAUUCAUUCAUUUGACUUCUAGUUGAGAACAUCCUUGCUUUUGCAGUAUAGAAAUGUUUUGCAAGCUCUAAGAAGAGGCGACCUCCGACUUCUUCGGCAUGCUUUUCAAGAGCAUGAAGACAGGUUCUUUAGGUUUGCUGUAUAUCUUGUCCUAGAGAAGCUAGAACUUCAGGUCUAUCAGAGAUUGUUGGGGAAAAAAAAAAUUUAUAUUAUCCAAAAGCAGAAGGACCCAAGCAAAGCUCACCAGCUGAAGUUGGAAGUAAUUGUCGAAGCAUUGAAAUGGUCAUUGAUGUGGAUGAGGUACUUGCUUCCCUGUCCCUUUCAAUCUUGUCUCUUUUAAGUAUUAUGUAGCUUAGUUUACCAUUUUUUUUUGGAGUGUCCUCUGCACAUUGUCCAGGAAUCUGAAAUAAGCAUAUCUCCAAGAAGUUUUAAGCAGUAAACUGCCGCAGGCCAUCCAAAAUCCAGUGACAAAUCCCAGCAGUGCACUGAUAAAGAAUCCCAGGCUUAUGAGACCAUCAUUAACACUCAGUGCCUCUCGUGAUUCAUCAUCUUGAACUGUUCCAUCUCCUGGACAACCUUGUGUCAGCGGUAGUCCACAAAGUCCAAGAUUUCCAAUAUAUGCAGAAGUGUUUAAGGACAAGCAUAUUAACAGAGAGAGAGAGAGAGAGUAAUGUUGCAGAGAGAAUGGAGAUUCAAGUGUAUUAUUCUUCUCACAAAGGAGUGUAUUUAUAGGAAUACAUAGCUAGUGUGAAAGCUCUAAGAGAAACUCAAUUUGGUAACAAUCUUCUCUUGGUUGAUUGAGGGCUGCAGCUCCACAUACUUGCCUUCAAUGAUGAAAUCUGCCAUGCUUGUUGCCUCUUGGUAUAAAGCAUGUCACACAAGUCUUCAUACACUCAA